CCCAGUAAACGGCGGCCGUAACUAUAACGGUCCUAAGGUAGCGAAAUUCCUUGUCGGGUAAGUUCCGACCUGCACGAAUGGCGUAAUGAUGGCCAGGCUGUCUCCACCCGAGACUCAGUGAAAUUGAACUCGCUGUGAAGAUGCAGUGUACCCGCGGCAAGACGGAAAGACCCCGUGAACCUUUACUAUAGCUUGACACUGAACAUUGAGCCUUGAUGUGUAGGAUAGGUGGGAGGCUUUGAAGUGUGGACGCCAGUCUGCAUGGAGCCGACCUUGAAAUACCACCCUUUAAUGUUUGAUGUUCUAACGUUGGCCCGUAAUCCGGGUUGCGGACAGUGUCUGGUGGGUAGUUUGACUGGGGCGGUCUCCUCCUAAAGAGUAACGGAGGAGCACGAAGGUUGGCUAAUCCUGGUCGGACAUCAGGAGGUUAGUGCAAUGGCAUAAGCCAGCUUGACUGCGAGCGUGACGGCGCGAGCAGGUGCGAAAGCAGGUCAUAGUGAUCCGGUGGUUCUGAAUGGAAGGGCCAUCGCUCAACGGAUAAAAGGUACUCCGGGGAUAACAGGCUGAUACCGCCCAAGAGUUCAUAUCGACGGCGGUGUUUGGCACCUCGAUGUCGGCUCAUCACAUCCUGGGGCUGAAGUAGGUCCCAAGGGUAUGGCUGUUCGCCAUUUAAAGUGGUACGCGAGCUGGGUUUAGAACGUCGUGAGACAGUUCGGUCCCUAUCUGCCGUGGGCGCUGGAGAACUGAGGGGGGCUGCUCCUAGUACGAGAGGACCGGAGUGGACGCAUCACUGGUGUUCGGGUUGUCAUGCCAAUGGCACUGCCCGGUAGCUAAAUGCGGAAGAGAUAAGUGCUGAAAGCAUCUAAGCACGAAACUUGCCCCGAGAUGAGUUCUCCCUGACUCCUUGAGAGUCCUGAAGGAACGUUGAAGACGACGACGUUGAUAGGCCGGGUGUGUAAGCGCAGCGAUGCGUUGAGCUAACCGGUACUAAUGAACCGUGAGGCUUAACCUU
rnacentral:rRNA from 1 species